rnacentral:rRNA from 1 species
GACGAACGCUGGCGGCGUGCUUAACACAUGAAUGUCGAACGAAGUGGCGAACGGGUGAGUAACGCGUAAUCAACCUGCCCUUCAGAGGGGGACAACAGUUGGAAACGACUGCUAAUACCGCAUAAUUAAGGAGGGGAUUGCGUCUGAUGAACUAGUUGGAGGGGUAACGGCCCACCAAGACGAUGAUCAGUAGCCGGUCGGAUAGGAGGAACGGCCACAUUGAGACUGAGACACGGCCCAGCCUCCUACGGGAGGCAGCAGUGGGGAGUCUGCCGCAAUGGACGAAAGUCUGACGGAGCAACGCCGCGUGAGUGAUGACGGCCUUCGGGUUGGAAAGCUCUGUUAAUCGGGACGCGGUACCGGAAUAGAGAGCCACGGCUAACUACGUGCCAGCAGCCGCGGUAAUUC